UCAUUGUUUUCUCCCGUCAGGCGGCUCACUUCCGCGUUCACCACGAGGCGGAAAACGAUCCAAUCACAGGCCUCAAACAGAAGACUCUCUACGGGAAACCCAACUGGGACAAUGAGUUCGGCAACGUGGCAGCAAAGCACCCUGGGACUAAAGUGGGGGUGUUUCUGUGCGGCCCCCCCCAGCUGGGGAAGUCCCUGGAGAAGCAGAGUCUGUCUCACACCGAGGGCGACGUCAAGUUCAUCUUCAACAAGGAGAACUUCUAACUUCUCUUCGUUCAUGUGAGGGGUCAAAGUGUCGCCACAGACGUUUGGCAAAGACGUUGCUCAAACCGUGGAGGAAAUACCGGCGGCGUUUUCCACAUUACAUUCUUCUCCUUUUGCUACUUCAACUUUUCAAACCACUGCUAGUUUCAAAACUUGCCUUCUCUUUUCCAUUUCUGUUGGCUGCGAGGAGGAGCAGGUCUAUGGUGUCUGAAUAAUGAAUGAAAGUCCUGAAGUUUGAGAGGAAAGGAAAUGCUAAAUCGCCCUGGAGCAAGGCAUUAAAGCAGCUUCAGUGUGAGGCAUACAAACAACCAGGAAGUGAAGCAGCACCACGUACCGGUUGUUCAUUCUGCCUGCUUUUGUGUUGCUUUUCUUUAAGUUUCAACUCAACUGUAUUUAGUGAACAGAGACUCUUCAAAUGGAUAGCUAGCCUCCUUCUGUUUACACUGUGAUCGUGUCUGAAUAAUAACAGAGACUGAAGUUUUAACUAAAUAGUGCAAAGAAAAAAAUGGCUGUAAUUUUUGUUAUGUAGUAUUUUAGGUCAAACCUGCAACAACGUGUGUACUGUGUGUCCAGUCUGUUUGACACCAUCGCACACUGAAUGUAUUAGUGUUUUUAUCAGUCAGAACAUUUGAAGGUGUCGCCGUGGACUCAGUGUGCACCCCGGGGUUUGGGGAAUUUCCUUUUUUGGUAAUAAACCUGAACUCUCGGAGCGGUUUGGUUUGAUUGCGUUAAAGGAUUUUGUAACUUGUGUUAACAGAAGUGGGAACCGUCGUCUCUGACAGAGAGGCUCUCUCUCACUUCAGAACACAUUUGAGAUACUUGCAGAACAUAUAAGUAACUUCAUAUUGUACUGAAGUAGAGUACCUGAGUAUUUACUGUACAUUUACAAACACAAGUGAAUCUGAAAAAUGGCACAAAACUGAGGAAACAUCAUAUGGAUAAAUAAAUAAGCGGUUUCUCUUGAAGUGUGUGUGACUUUAUUCAUUUAAGAUAAAUGGCUGAACACUGCAAUGCGCUCAUAAAUGUCUUAAUGUUCCUGCAGCAGAACCCUGCGUACAAAAUCUCUCUCUUGUUGACAUGA